rfam:TPA: Bos taurus chromosome 6, whole genome shotgun sequence.
UCCCUGGUGGCUUAGAUGGUAAAGAAUCUGCCUGCAAUGCAGGACACCUGGGUUUGAUCCCUGGGUUGGGAA